rnacentral:tRNA from 1 species
GGGGGCGUAGCUCAGUGGUAGAGCAUUUGUGGCAGGUCCCAGAUCCAAUCCCUGGCAUCUCCA